rnacentral:rRNA from 1 species
UUUUGAAUUUGGCUCAGGAUGAACGCUGGCGGGGGGCUUAACACAUGCAAGUCGAACGGUGAAGCAGAGCUUGCUCUGUGGAUCAGUGGCGAACGGGUGAGUAACACGUGAGCAACCUGCCCCUGACUCUGGGAUAAGCGCUGGAAACGGCGUCUAAUACUGGAUACGAACAAGAAUCGCAUGGUUACUUGUUGGAAAGAUUUUUUGGUUGGGGAUGGGCUCGCGGCCUAUCAGCUUGUUGGUGAGGUAAUGGCUCACCAAGGCGUCGACGGGUAGCCGGCCUGAGAGGGUGACCGGCCACACUGGGACUGAGACACGGCCCAGACUCCUACGGGAGGCAGCAGUGGGGAAUAUUGCACAAUGGGCGGAAGCCUGAUGCAGCAACGCCGCGUGAGGGAUGACGGCCUUCGGGUUGUAAACCUCUUUUAGCAGGGAAGAAGCGAAAGUGACGGUACCUGCAGAAAAAGCGCCGGCUAACUACGUGCCAGCAGCCGCGGUAAUACGUAGGGCGCAAGCGUUAUCCGGAAUUAUUGGGCGUAAAGAGCUCGUAGGCGGUUUGUCGCGUCUGCUGUGAAAUCCCGAGGCUCAACCUCGGGCCUGCAGUGGGUACGGGCAGACUAGAGUGCGGUAGGGGAGAUUGGAAUUCCUGGUGUAGCGGUGGAAUGCGCAGAUAUCAGGAGGAACACCGAUGGCGAAGGCAGAUCUCUGGGCCGUAACUGACGCUGAGGAGCGAAAGGGUGGGGAGCAAACAGGCUUAGAUACCCUGGUAGUCCACCCCGUAAACGUUGGGAACUAGUUGUGGGGUCCAUUCCACGGAUUCCGUGACGCAGCUAACGCAUUAAGUUCCCCCGCCUGGGGAGUACGGCCGCAAGGCUAAAACUCAAAG